CGGAGGAAAAGAAACCAACAGGGAUUGCCCCAGUAACGGCGAGUGAAGCGGCAACAGCUCAAAUUUGAAAUCUGGCCCUCGCGGUCCGAGUUGUAAUUUGUAGAGGAUGCUUUUGGUGCGGUGCCUUCCGAGUUCCCUGGAACGGGACGCCAUAGAGGGUGAGAGCCCCGUCUGGUUGGAUGCCAAACCUCUGUAAAGCUCCUUCGACGAGUCGAGUAGUUUGGGAAUGCUGCUCAAAAUGGGAGGUAUAUGUCUUCUAAAGCUAAAUACCGGCCAGAGACCGAUAGCGCACAAGUAGAGUGAUCGAAAGAUGAAAAGCACUUUGAAAAGAGGGUUAAAUAGUACGUGAAAUUGUUGAAAGGGAAGCGUUUGUGACCAGACUUGGGCUCGGUGAAUCAUCCGGCGUUCUCGCCGGUGCACUUCGCCGGUCCAGGCCAGCAUCGGUUCGCUCGCGGGGGAUAAAGGCGUCGGGAAUGUGGCUCCUCGGAGUGUUAUAGCCCUUCGCACAAUACCCUGCGGUGGACCGAGGUUCGCGCAUCUGCAAGGAUGCUGGCGUAAUGGUCAUCAACGACCCGUCUUGAAACACGGACCAAGGAGUCGUCUUCGUAUGCGAGUGUUCGGGUGUCAAACCCCUACGCGUAAUGAAAGUGAACGGAGGUGAGAGCUACGGCGCAUCAUCGACCGAUCCUGAUGUUCUCGGAUGGAUUUGAGUAAGAGCAUACGGGGCCGGACCCGAAAGAAGGUGAACUAUGCCUGUAUAGGGUGAAGCCAGAGGAAACUCUGGUGGAGGCUCGCAGCGGUUCUGACGUGCAAAUCGAUCGUCAAAUAUGGGCAUGGGGGCGAAAGACUAAUCGAACCUUCUAGUAGCUG
rnacentral:rRNA from 1 species